rnacentral:rRNA from 1 species
UGGGGAAUAUUGCACAAUGGGGGAAACCCUGAUGCAGCGACGCCGCGUGAGCGAAGAAGGUUUUCGAAUCGUAAAGCUCUGUCCUAUGGGAAGAUAAUGACGGUACCAUAGGAGGAAGCCCCGGCUAACUACGUGCCAGCAGCCGCGGUAAUACGUAGGGGGCAAGCGCUGUCCGGCAUCACUGGGCGUAAAGGGUUCGCAGGCGGAAAUGCAAGUCAGUUGUGAAAGGCAGAGGCUCAACCUCUGUAAGCAAUUGAAACUGUAUUUCUUGAGAUGUGGAGAGGCAAGUGGAAUUCCUAGUGUAGCGGUGAAAUGCGUAGAUAUUAGGAAGAAUACCGGUGGCGAAGGCGACUUGCUGGACACAAACUGACGCUGAGGAACGAAAGCGUGGGUAGCAAACAGG